AUAUAACGGAGCGUAAAUCUGCCCUCAUGGCCAAUAACAUUUGUUAACCAUUUAUUACAGUUGCUUUUUGACGUCCUUAGCCCAAUCUAAUGCGGGCCACUGUAGAGUAUAGCCGCUGCGACUUGUCUUGUAUCAAACCAAGUAACGCAGUGAUUGCAAAAAAAUGUUUAAAAUUCAUUUAUACAAACAUAGAUUGACGUAAAGGACAAAUUACGAACAGCUAUGUCAAUGAGUUUUAAGCUUUUAACUGCUGAAGCGUUGCCUAAAUAGGCAGUACCGGUAGCAAGCAAUUACAGACGAAGUUUUUCUGCCAGUUUUGUGCAAAAACAAAAAACAAAAAAACUAGGCGAUCAACAUAGAGAAAGAUAACCCCACUUCUCAAAGAUAAUGUAAUGUACGCGGUAAAGUACAAACGUGGCGAAGAGACUGAAGAUUAUGGAAUGAAAACCAAUAAGUACUUCCGGACUAGACAGUUUGUCCGGAACCCAUAGACAUGAGCAAAUGUACGAGAAAAAAAGUGACGUGCGGCCACCAAGCUCCGUGGAUAUGUUCGAAGUAAUUCGAUCGGCAGGCUUGCUAAAAAGGAAAUACUGGGCCCAAUAUAUAAUAGGAAAUUAGUGCAACCCUAAGCUAUGUAUUUAUAUUGAGAGUGAGGCGUGGGGCGUCACACUUGUUGCCCCCAUGCCCAGGCUUCCCAAUCCUCCCUUUGAGCUGUUGCUAACUUGCUAGUGUAUACUCGUCGAUCCAUUUGAGGCGAUUAAGCCAUAGCAACGUACUGCCCUCUCCCACUUUUCCACUCUCAUCGUAUUGGACGUCGUUGAUCUGGUCUUGUAUAUAAAAGGCCCCGGAUGGAUUCAGUCUAGCAUAACAGUUUCGUCUUCUCUCCGCAGACGGACAGACUCUCGGGCCGCUUCAGUCAUUGCAACUCAAUCGCAGAAGAAAAGUUUUUGUUUUCCAUGGUGCUGGAUAUUUUUGUAAGAACAUACUUAGAACACCGCAGAGGGUUACCAUCACGACAUGGUUUGGGCUGAUCGUCGUCGAAGCUGAAGACAUCUUUUGAUUCUUCAACCAUGUGAUGACUUCAGAGUAAUGCUGUUCCACCCAUUGCACGUUGGAUUGCGCCAAUUCUAAACCCUGGUUGACUGUCUUGGAAGACCCCAAAACAUCGAGGUGAUCGUCGCGUAAUUUAGUCAGCUGUACGUGACAUAUAAAUCGUUAUCAUGAAGUUGUUUCACGAAUUCAAACUGUAAAUACAAAGGGCAAUUUCGUAAUUUA